rnacentral:rRNA from 1 species
UACGUAGGGUGCAAGCGUUGUCCGGAAUUAUUGGGCGUAAAGAGCUCGUAGGCGGUUUGUCGCGUCUGCUGUGAAAACUCGAGGCUCAACCUCGAGACGCCGAUGGAAACCAUCUGACUAGAGUCCGGAAGAGGAGAGUGGAAUUCCUGGUGUAGCGGUGAAAUGCGCAGAUAUCAGGAAGAACACCCGUGGCUAAGGCGGCUCUCUAGUACGUGACUGACGCUGAGACGCGAAAGCGUGGGGAGCGAACAGG